rnacentral:rRNA from 1 species
UACAGAGGUGGCAAGCGUUGUUCGGAAUUACUGGGCGUAAAGGGCGCGUAGGCGGUCAGGUCAGUCCCGUGUGAAAUCCCUCGGGCUCAACUGAGGAACUGCACGGGAAACUACCUGGCUUGAGUUCGGGGAGAGGGAAGCGGAAUUCCGGGUGUAGCGGUGAAAUGCGUAGAUAUCCGGAGGAACACCGGUGGCGAAGGCGGCUUCCUGGACCGACACUGACGCUGAGGCGCGAAAGCUAGGGGAGCAAACGGG